UGCUAACACAUGCAAGUCGCACGAGAAAGCCGGGGCAACCUGGUGAGUACAGUGGCGUACGGGUGAGUAGCACGUGGGUUACCUGCCCUCUGGUGGGGAAUAACCCUGGGAAACCGGGGCUAAUACCGCAUAAACCCGAAAGGGGAAAGCCGAAAGGCGCCGGAGGAGGGGCCCGCGGCCGAUUAGCUUGUUGGCGGGGUAACGGCCCACCAAGGCUGUGAUCGGUAGCCGGCCUGAGAGGGCACACGGCCACACUGGCACUGAAACACGGGCCAGACUCCUACGGGAGGCAGCAGUGGGGAAUCUUGCACAAUGGGGGAAACCCUGAUGCAGCGACGCCGCGUGAGCGAUGAAGCCCUUCGGGGUGUAAAGCUCUUUCGGCAGGAACGAUAAUGACGGUACCUGCAGAAGAAGCUGCGGCUAACUACGUGCCAGCAGCCGCGGUAAUACGUAGGCAGCAAGCGUUGUUCGGAGUUACUGGGCGUAAAGAGUGUGUAGGCGGUUUGCCAAGUUCGGUGUGAAAUCUCCCGGCUUAACUGGGAGGGUGCGCCGAAAACUGGCAGGCUUGAGUGCGGGAGAGGAGAGCGGAAUUCCUGGUGUAGCGGUGAAAUGCGUAGAGAUCAGGAGGAACACCUGCGGUGUAGACGGCUCUCUGGACCGCAACUGACGCUGAGACACGAAAGCGUGGGUAGCAAACAGGAUUAGAUACCCUGGUAGUCCACGCCCUAAACGAUGCACACUUGGUGUGGGCAGUUCAUUCUGUCCGUGCCGUAGUUAACGCGUUAAGUGUGCCGCCUGGGGAGUACGGUCGCAAGGCUGAAACUCAAAGGAAUUGACGGGGGCCCGCACAAGCGGUGGAACAUGUGGUUUAAUUCGAUGAUACGCGAGGAACCUUACCCGGGCUCGAACGGUGCAGUAAUAUGGUAGAGAUAUCAUAGCUAGCAAUAGACUGUAUCGAGGUGCUGCAUGGUUGUCGUCAGCUCGUGCCGUGAGGUGUCGGCUUAAGUGCCAUAACGAGCGCAACCCUUGUCGUUAGUUACCAUCAAAUAAAGUUGGGGACUCUAGCGAGACUGCCACCGUAAGGUGUGAGGAAGGGGGGGAUGACGUCAAAUCAGCACGGCCCUUACGUCCGGGGCGACACACGUGUUACAAUGGUAGGUACAGAGGGCCGCUACCCAGUGAUGGGGUGCCAAUCUCAAAAACCUAUCUCAGUUCGGAUCGGAGUCUGCAACUCGACUCCGUGAAGUUGGAUUCGCUAGUAAUCGCGCAUCAGCCAUGGCGCGGUGAAUACGUUCCCGGGCCUUGUACACACCGCCCGUCAAGCCAUGGAAGCUGGGGGUGCCUGAAGUUCGUGA
rnacentral:rRNA from 1 species